UACGACAAAGUGUAAAGGUUUGCAUGUCAGUCUCAUGAACUGGCGGAUUUGGUUCAAUUCCAGAUGUCGUAA